UUUACAAAGGGUCUGUAAUCUGGCAAAAUAUCUAAUCGCGUAGGUCUGAAAGUAUCAGACCCAUUCUUAAUUUAAAGAAUGUCCAAGCGUG
rnacentral:sRNA from 10 species